CUUUCUCCUCAUAACACUUUGUUUCUUUUUCUAUUUUUGAAUUGUCAUUUAGGUGUUAAUCUUGAUUAGUUUGGUUAUUGAUUCGUUUAAUUUUAGUAGAAAUAGGUUUAUUUAGUUAAUUGCAUUGUUUAGUUUAAUUACAUGUGUUUAGGCUAAUUAAAUCAACUUUAGUCAACUCAGUAGAUUAGUUAGGUUUUAAUUAAUGGAUUGUUUCUGUUUUGGUUUAUCUCUGAUUUUUACCUUAAUUAUUUGAGUUUAGAGGUUUGAAUGCCAAUUGGAAAUUAGGAGGGUGAACGGGUAAUAAACAGAACUUGAAGGGGUUAAUUUGGAAGAAAAAAUGGAUACACUUUAGGUAAAAAUAUUAGAAAGUUCUAGUAUUGGACAGUUGUCCCUCUUUUUGGCGUGAAAAUGCUGAAAUUGGGUAAAAGGACAUACAACUGUACCAAAUCUACUAAAAAAAGAUGUUGUACUAUCCUAUUUUACAACUGACAUUUUCUGAUUUUUAGGGUAGAAUAUUCCCUAUUAUGCUUAUCUUUGUGCAUUGUAUAUACAGAACAGACUCUCACUCACUCAUAAAGACAUUCUAAUCAGCACACUCACUCUAAAAAGCAUCCUUGAAUACUGAUUUUUGAUUUGUCUCUUCAGUUUUUCUUUUAGUGGGAUAUAGAAACGGAAAAACCAAAAAAACAAUUCUCAAGCCCUGUUUUAGACCAUGCAGAUUCAGUUCAAAAGAGUUUUUACUGUAGUGUUGGUUUAUGUGGAUUUGUGUUGGAGUUUGGAAUGUAAAAGAGAUGGUUUGUCACUGGAUAUGUGGCUAUGGCUUGCUAAUCUUACCACCAGUUGGGUCAGAUUGGUGAACUCUAAAGCUAAAGGAUGCAUUUGGAGUCAUCUAUGGAGGGAGAUUAAGUAGAAGAUUGACUAUUCUAUGAACCAUUCUUGUAUAAAUUUUAAAGUUAUAUUUGUUACUGUAUUACCAGAUCUGUAAAUAUUAGAAUAUAGUUGAUUUGUUAUGUUAACUCAAAGGGGUCAGUUUGUCCAUUUUCACUAGUUUUUGGCAAAUUUAAUUCUGAAAGUUUGAAUGAGUUACUACCAA